rnacentral:lncRNA from 1 species
GUCAAACUGUGUAGUUCUGGCUGAAAAUCACAUAAAUGGAAUAUCAUGAUCUGUUUCUUGUGAGGCCUCAGAGCACAUGUCCUCAAAGAGGUGGAAGCAUGACAGAGAAGUUUCCUGAUCUUUCUGUAUAAAACAGCCUGAAUGUAAGCCACUGAAAAUUUCCUCCAAAAAUCAUGGGAUUAGGAAAACCCUACACUCGUUUCUAGGCUGAGUGAAUUAUCUAUUAAUAAAGGGAAGGCCUAUCGUUUCA